rnacentral:rRNA from 1 species
CCUACGGGUGGCUGCAGUGGGGAAUAUUGGACAAUGGGGGGAACCCUGAUCCAGCCAUGCCGCGUGUGUGAAGAAGGCCCUCGGGUUGUAAAGCACUUUCAGUGAGGAAGAACGCCUGGUGGUUAAUACCCAUCAGGAAAGACAUCACUCACAGAAGAAGCACCGGCUAACUCCGUGCCAGCAGCCGCGGUAAUACGGAGGGUGCGAGCGUUAAUCGGAAUUACUGGGCGUAAAGCGCGCGUAGGUGGCUUGAUAAGCCGGUUGUGAAAGCCCCGGGCUCAACCUGGGAACGGCAUCCGGAACUGUCAAGCUAGAGUGCAGGAGAGGAAGGUAGAAUUCCCGGUGUAGCGGUGAAAUGCGUAGAGAUCGAGAGGAAUACCAGUGGCGAAGGCGGCCUUCUGGACUGACACUGACACUGAGGUGCGAAAGCGUGGGUAGCAAACAGGAUUAGAUACCCGGGUAGUC